GCCCGAGUGGCGGAAUUGGUAUACGCGUUCGACUUAAAAUCGAAUGGGAAACCAUAUGGGUUCAAGUCCCAUCUCGGGCACCA
rnacentral:tRNA from 1 species